UACCAGCCCCCGAGUGGUGGGGAUGAUUAUUUGGCCUAAAGCGUUCGUAGCCGGCUCGGUAAGUCCUCCGUUAAAUCUGACGACUUAAUCGUCAGGCUGCGGAAGAUACUGCUGGGCUAGGAGGCGGAAGAGGUCGACGGUAUUCCAGGGGUAGGGGUGGAAUCCUAUAAUCCUUGGAAGACCACCAGUGGCGAAGGCGGUCGACUAGAACGCGCUCGACGGUGAGGGACGAAAGCUGGGGGAGCGAACCGGAUUAGAUACCCGGGUAGUCCCAGCUGUAAACGAUGCAAGCUAGGUGUUGGCGCGGCUACGGGCCGUGCCAGUGCCCCAGGGAAGCCCUUAAGCUCGCCGCCUGGGGAGUACGGUCGCAAGGCUGAAACUUAAAGGAAUUGGCGGGGGAGCACCACAAGGCGUGAAGGCUGCGGUUU
rnacentral:rRNA from 1 species